rnacentral:snRNA from 1 species
AUCGCUUCUCGGCCUUUUGGCUAAGAUCAAGUGUAUAUUGGAACUCAGUUUAUUUUAAUGAUAAAUUUUGAUCCAGGCAAGUGGCCUGUGCUGUCCCACAUUUUGUAUAAGAUUUUUUUUAAGUCACUUAAAUAGUGGAAGAAUGUCU